AUUGAACGCUGGCGGCGUGCUUAACACAUGCAAGUCGAGCGGUAAGGCCCUUUCGGGGGUACACGAGCGGCGAACGGGUGAGUAACACGUGGGUGACCUGCCCUCAGCUCUGGGAUAAGCCUGGGAAACCGGGUCUAAUACCGGAUAUGACUCCAUGACGCAUGUUGUGGGGUGGAAAGCCUUGUGCGGCUGAGGAUGGGCCCGCGGCCUAUCAGCUUGUUGGUGGGGUGANGGCCUACCAAGGCGACGACGGGUAGCCGGCCUGAGAGGGCGACCGGCCACACUGGGACUGAGACACGGCCCAGACUCCUACGGGAGGCAGCAGUGGGGAAUCUUGCGCAAUGGGCGAAAGCCUGACGCAGCGACGCCGCGUGAGGGAUGACGGCCU
rnacentral:rRNA from 1 species